GAAUAAGAACAAAAAUGUUUGAAUUAAAAUUUGGUAAUAACCAAUCAAAGGUAAGAAAAUUAUAAAACAACUUUAUACACAUCUUGCUUGAUUAUUUCCUACCAAAAAUUUUCCCACCAAAUUCUACGGAUAAGGGUAUUUGUUGGUCAUCUAUAACUAUCAUAGUAGGUUUUAAUUGGAUAGAGCAUAAACACCAAAGAUUAGGUAUAAGAUUAUUUAUGCCUAUGUUAUUAAGCCAUCUAACAGGAAAAUCAGAGAUUGACAUCCAAAGUUUAGAACUAAAGCAAAUUUCAGGUUUAAGGUUUGUAAGUAAAUAUUUCAAUACCAAUUUUGUUGGAGAAUUGGCCAGGCCCCUCAAAAGAUUUGGUAGCAUAACUUCCUUUAUUCUUUGCAAUUAUCUUCUCAUCUUUCUUAUAUCACCUUUUUUUAGUUGAUUUUGUUAUGACAAUUUGAAAACCUUAAUCAUCAACAUUUCAACCUUGGGGGAAUUUCCACAUUUCCUUCUUCAAAUGCUUCAAUAAUCAAUAUCAUUCUCAUUUUCUUUUUCAGUAAGAUUAGCCCAAAAUUCUUUCAAUAACUAAAUGUCUUUUUGAACCACAUCACAACCAUAUUUCAGCAUUAGAAGCAUCUCUGCUGGAUUACAUUCACUUCUACAUUCCGUUGUGUCCUGUUUUUUGCGUUUUGAUUAGCUGCAGGAAAUGCUUCAAGUUCAUCAUUCAUCUCUUUCUCUAACUCAGGAUCCUCUUGAUUUCUCAAAGCCACAAUUUCUUGUUCUUUUCCUUUAUUCGCUAGAACAUAUUCCUACCUAGGAAUAGAAACGGAGCAACUUUUUAAGGUCAACUAGUUACAAACCCGUGCUUUGCACGGGUUGAAUAACGUAUUUUUUUAAAAUUUAGUUCUGAAGGAGAAAUCUUAUAAAUUAUGGAAAAUUGUUACCCUUUAUAAAUGUGAAAAUCAAAGUUGCGUAAACCAAAAAUUUGCAACACAGAGUCUAAAGCACUACAUAAAAAAUAACAUAACAAUUAUUGCAAUCUCUUAUUCCUUAAAGUUAACCCGAACACAAAAUUUUACCCUAGAUUUAACCUAACUUCUUUGCUUAAUUUUACUGUAUUACCCCUAUUUAAUUUAAUCAAAAUGUUAACUUUAAUUGUUAGGGAAAUCAAAAUAACAAAUCGCUCCAAAUUUUUCUCCUUAAUUUUAUUAAACAAAUUAUAUUAACCCUAGAUUUAAUUUAUGCAAAAUGUCAGCUCAUUUAUAAACGUUAAUCCGUGACGCAAUAUUAACCCUAGAUUUAACCUAAUUUUUUCGUGUGACUUUACUAUAUUAACCCUAGAUUUUAUUUAUGCAAAAAGUCAUCUCUAAUUUUAACCUAAUUUUUCCCUCCACACUUUUGCAUUUAAUGUUUAUCUAAAGUAAAAUAAAAGUAUGUUCCCAAUUAUAUGCUGUUUUUUUGAAAGGAAUAACCGUUAACCCGUCUCGCUAUAGUUAACUUAAUAUCUUACUUAUAAAUGUUAACCCGUCUUGCAAUACUUAACCUAUUUUAUUUCUUAAAGUUAACAUGAAUGCAAAAUUUUGCCCUAGAUGUAACCUAACUUCUUUGCUUAAUUUUACUAUAUUAACCCUAUUUAAUUAACCCUGUUUAAUUUAAUCAAAAUGUUAACAUUAAUUGUUAGGGAAAUCAAAAUAAACAAAUCGCUCCUAAUUUUUCACUUUAAUUUUACUAAACAAAUUUUAUUAACCCUAGAUUUAAUUUAUGUCAAAUGGCAUCUCUUAUUUCUAAAUGUUAACCUGUGACGCAAUAUUAACCCUAUAUUUAACCUUAUUUUUUCGUGUGACUUUACUAUAUUAACCCUAGAUUUAAUUUAAGCAAAAUGUCAUCUCUUAUUUCUAAAUGUUAACCCGUGAUGCAAUAUUAACCCUAGAUUUAACCUAUUUUUUCGUGUGACUUUACAAUAGUAACUCUAGAUUUAAUUUAUGCAAAAUGUCAGCUCUAAUUUUAACCUAAUUUUUUCCUCCACACUUUUACAUUUAAUGUUUAUCUAAGGUAAAAUAAUAACCUUAGAUAAUCACGGCAUAAAAAAAAAUUAUUCGAAAGAAUGUAGAAGCAACUGAAUUUGGGAGAAAAAAUUGAAAAAUAGUUAAAAAUAUAAAAAUUGGAAAAUAAUUAAAAGUUAUUAAAAAUACAAAAAUUAGAAAGUAAUUAAAAAAAAUUAGUUAGGGGCAAAAAUGGAAAUUCAUAGGCCAUGGUUAAAAAAAAAAAAAACUUAACCAAUAAGUAGAUUACCAAAUUGCCCCUUAUAGGGGCAAAAUGGUAAAUUCAAGGGACAUUUCUUUUAAUAUAAGUAUAUAGAAGUGGUGACCGGUGAUAUUGCAAAAAGUGCAAAAAUCUAGUAAGUUCUCAUAAUCCACAUCAACAAAAAAAAAAGGCAUAACCCUUUCUUUCCGCAAGAAUCCUACGCCUUUGCUUUUAAGUCAGGUCCAAAUCAAUCAAAACUCUAGCAAACUGACCAAAAGAACGAUCGAACAUAAAUUUGUUAGUGAUGUUAUUAGUACAUAUAGGCGUCAUGACACUACUAGCUAUUGCAAAAAGAUCUUGGGACACCAAUAUUCAUAUGUUAAGCCAAAAUUAUGAAACCAAACCUAAAUUGAUGAUUGUUGUUGAAUCAUAGGGUAAAAAACUUUUGGCCAAGCGAAGAACUUUAAGAUUUCAGCACUUAUACACUAAGGAGAAAUGAUAUUUGUACAACCAUUUUCUAACAACUUUUAUGACAACUUUCUCUAUCAUACUCACAUUAUAUUUUUAUUUUCUCUCUCUAUUACUUUGAUAUUUGUGCCAAUACAUAAUUUUCUUUGUAAAAUUGUGGUUGUCCAUUUAAUUAUCAAGCAAAUUGAUGUUCAAAUAACACUGCUCUACACUAAGUACAAGAAGUACUAAAGUCAUAACAACAUACAACAAAUUGCAACCAUCCUUAACAAACAAGGCAAAUAAAACAAAAACAAACCCAAAACAAGAGCUCCCAACACCACCACGAGAACAUAAAAGAAAGGAGAAGUUUGUGGCAACAUCAUUAAGAAUAAGUGACAUUUCAGCUAUGUCGGCACCCAUCUAACCUACAACCAUUUUAAACACCUUAAAGCAAGAGUAGCUUUGAGAGAAAGAGAGAGAGAUAAAAAAGAGCUCAAAAUAAAGAAAAGGAGAAUAAGAUAAAGGUUGUGUUUGGUAACAUAAAUAAGCUAGCUUAUAGUUUGUUAGAUUAGCUAUAAGCUCGUUGGAUGAAAAUGUGAC
rnacentral:lncRNA from 1 species